AUUGAACGCUGGCGGCAGGCCUAACACAUGCAAGUCGAACGCGUGGCGGACGGGUGAGUAAUGUCUGGGAAACUGCCUGAUGGAGGGGGAUAACUACUGGAAACGGUAGCUAAUACCGCAUCCCAUCAGAUGUGCCCAGAUGGGAUAAGCUUGUGGGGGGGGUAACGGCUCACCAAGGCGACGAUCCCUAGCUGGUCUGAGAGGUUGACCAGCAACACGGGAACUGAGAAACGGUCCAGACUCCGACGGUAGGCAGCAGUGGGGAAUAGUGCAGAAUGGGCGCAAGCCUGAUGCAGCCAUGCCGCGGGUAUGAAGAAGGCCGUCGGGUUGUAAAGUACGUGCAGCGGGGAGGCGUUACCCGCAGAAGAAGAACCGGCUAACUCCGUGCCAGCAGCCGCGGUAAUAC
rnacentral:rRNA from 1 species